rnacentral:rRNA from 1 species
GACGAACGCUGGCGGCGUGCUUAACACAUGCAAGUCGAACGGAGUGGCGAACGGGUGAGUAACACGUGGGUGAUCUGCCUUGCACUCUGGGAUAAGCUUGGGAAACUGGGUCUAAUACCGGAUAGUGCAAGAUGAGCUCGCGGCCUAUCAGCUUGUUGGUGGGGUAAUGGCCUACCAAGGCGUCGACGGGUAGUCGGCCUGAGAGGGUGUACGGCCACAUUAGGACUGAGAUACGGCCCAGACUCCUACGGGAGGCAGUAGUGGGGGAUAUUGCACAAUGGGCGGAAGCCUGAUGCAGCGACGCCGCGUGGGGGAUGACGGCCUUCGGGUUGGAAACUCCUUUCGACAGGGACGCGGUAUCUAACCAGAAAGCCACGGCUAACUACGUGCCAGCAGCCGCGGUAAUUC